rnacentral:lncRNA from 1 species
GUGUUGCAUGGAAUGACUAAUGGCCUUCAGUUGGUUCCUGUGUAGAUGGUAACACGGAAAGCUGUUCACAAAACCCCUUUCUAGCAAAGAUGCGUUUCUGCCAAGUCACAUAUGUUGGCCAGAGGUGUGUUGAGGGAAAUUGGCCCUCUUCAGAAAAAUAUAGUCUCCUUGUUCCCGGCCACAUUUUAAUGUUGCCCUGCCUUUUAGCUUAUGAAGCUUCAGGCUCUCUAUACAAAUGCUGUCCGUUUUAAUAGAGUGCUAAUCGCAGUAAUGGGCAGGGCACUUAUGUCUGUAAUCAUCACAUCAACGCCACUUGGCUUAAUCCUUGAAAAUGGACAACAAGCUAUUACUAAACCAUAAAAAUCGCAAAUUGUGUAUGCUGACCUAGAGAUACCUCCAAUCAAUGAGAAGCAGCCUCAGAGCCACCAAAGGCUCUUCAACGUCCAGCUGUCACAACAUUCCCCAAGAACUUCAAAGAUUUUAAAGGCCACCAUUUCCAUGCACAUGUCUCUGGGUAUUGCUGCUGUUUACACUUCGCAGAAGCUGGACACUCAGCCUGUUUGGGGGGGACCCAGGCUAAAGGUUCUGCCCUAGGUGUGAGAUGGAGUUUCCUGAGGUUGCCCAGUCUGGUCUUGAACUUCGGAGCUCAAGUGAUCCUCCCACCUUGGCCUCCCAAAGUGCUAGAAUUACAGGUAGGAGCCACUGCGUCCAGCCUCCUCUUGGCUUAUUCAUAUAACCAGACGGCAUAUGAUCAGGCCUUUCAGUGAGGCCAGAUUGGAGGGGGGCCUCAGUAGCAGCUUGAUAAGGUCCCAAAAGAUACUAAAUGAAAAAAGGACAAUCUAACAUUAGUGGCCUCAGAAUGCAGGGACACCUAUAGCCUACACAAGAAUAAAACAAACCAAGGAAAAACACAACUGGAAUUCCUUUAAAUAAGAAAGCCAGACCCAUAUCAGAAGGCAGACAAUAGAGAUGAAAGAAACUGAAUUCCAAAGACAGACAAAUGGGGAAACACACAAAUAAAAAGGGGAGGGGGUGACCUCAAAGACAACUAACUAGGGUCACAAGGCUGGGGGUUGCAGCUAGACAGAGGAUUGCAAGCAGGUUGGAUAAAUGGGGUGGGCCAGCUGCUCUAUCUUCUAACCGAAGGGCAAGGUAGGGCCUAGUGGAAAAAUAUUGGUCACAAAGUCAAGUCCCAACUGUAACCAUGAUUUGCCUCAUUCAUUCAUUCACUCACUCACUCAUCUGAUAUUUAUGAACACCCACUGUGCACCAGGCACUGUACUGGAAGAUAAGCCAUGGAAUGAGAUAGAU